GACGAACGCUGGCGGCGUGCUUAACACAUGCAAGUCGUACGGUAAGGCCCUUUCGGGGGUACACGAGUGGCGAACGGGUUAGUAACACGUGAGUAACCUGCCCACAACUUUGGGAUAACGCUAGGAAACUGGUGCUAAUACUGGAUAUGUGCUCCUGCUGCAUGGUGGGGGUUGGAAAGCUCCGGCGGUUGUGGAUGGACUCGCGGCCUAUCAGCUUGUUGGUGGGGUAGUGGCCUACCAAGGCGGCGACGGGUAGCCGGCCUGAGAGGGUGACCGGCCACAUUGGGACUGAGAUACGGCCCAGACUCCUACGGGAGGCAGCAGUGGGGAAUAUUGCACAAUGGGCGCAAGCCUGAUGCAGCAACGCCGCGUGCGGGAUGACGGCCUUCGGGUUGUAAACCGCUUUCAGCAGGGACGAAGCUUUUUGUGACGGUACCUGCAGAAGAAGCACCGGCUAACUACGUG
rnacentral:rRNA from 1 species